rnacentral:tRNA from 1 species
GCAGAGAUGGUGGAAUUGGCAGACACGCUAUCUUGAGGGGGUAGUGAGUAAUACUCAUGAGGGUUCAAAUCCCUUUCUCUGCACCA